rnacentral:pre_miRNA from 1 species
AAUGGAAUAGCUGGGUCAAAUGGUCGUUCCAUUCCAAGUUUUCUGAGGAAUCUCCAUACUGCUUUCCAAAGUGGUGGCUCCAAUUUGCAGUCCCACCAGCAAA